CAGCAGCCGCGGUAAUACGGAGGUGGCGAGCGUUGUUCGGAAUCACUGGGCUUAAAGCGUGUGUAGGCGGAAGUCCAAGCGUCAUGUGAAAUCCCUCGGCUCAACCGAGGAAUUGCUUGGCGAACUGGAUUUCUUGAGGCAGAUAGGGGUGUGUGGAACUCUUGGUGGAGCGGUGGAAUGCGUAGAUAUCAAGAGGAACGCCAAUGGUGAAGACAGCACACUGGGUCUGUUCUGACGCUGAGACACGAAAGCGUGGGUAGCGAACGGGAUUAGAUACCCCGGUAGUCCACGCCGUAAACGAUGUCUACUAGGCUGUGGUCGUUCUGACACGAUCGCGGCCGAAGCAAAAGUGAUAAGUAGACCGCCUGGGGAGUACGGUCGCAAGGCUAAAACUCAAAGGAAUUGACGGGGGCUCACACAAGCGGUGGAGCAUGUGGAUUAAUUCGAAGCAACGCGCAGAACCUUACCUGGGUUUGACAUGCUUGGAUGCCUAUCUGGAAACAGAGUCGGCUGCCUUCGGGUGAAACUUGCACAGGUGCUGCAUGGCUGUCGUCAGCUCGUGUCGUGAGAUGUCGGGUUAAGUCCUUUAACGAGCGAAGCCCUUGCCGUUAGUUGCCAGCGAGUAAUGUCGGGGACUCUAACGGGACUGCCGGUGUUAAACCGGAGGAAGGUGGGGAUGACGUCUUAGUCCUCAUGGCCCUUAUGUCCAGGGCUACACACGUGCUACAAUGGCCGGUACAGAGGGUUACCAAACCGCAAGGUGGAGUUAAUCUCAGAAAACCGGUCUCAGUUCGGAUUGGAGUCUGCAAUUCGACUCCAUGAAGCUGGAAUCGCUAGUAAUCGCGAAUCAGC
rnacentral:rRNA from 1 species